rnacentral:rRNA from 1 species
UACGGAGGGUGCAAGCGUUAUCCGGAUUCACUGGGUUUAAAGCGUGCGCAGGCGGCUAUGCAAGACAGAUGUGAAAUCCCCGGGCUCAACCUGGGAACUGCAUUUGUGACUGCAUGGCUAGAGUACGGUAGAGGGGGGAUGGAAUUCCCAGUGUAGAGGUGAAAUUCGUAGAUAUUGGGAAGAACACCAGUGGCGAAGGCGGCUCUCUGGACCGAUACUGACGCUGAGGCGCGAAAAGCGUGGGGGAGCAAACAGG